CUUCCGCCCAGCUCUACAAGUUCGCUCCAUAUGGCUUCACAAGAUAAGAUUCCUCCACGUUGUGAUGAAGAUAUGGCUUUCCUUUCGUCUUUCUGUCGUGUUUCUGCCUCCAUUCCUCGUUCGCUGCUCGCUUUUCCCUUGGAGCGACAUCAUUAGUCAUCCAAGCGACCCUUCAUUAGCUGAAUGUGGAAUAGUGGGGGAAACGGCCGCGUUUUGUGGGGCCACCUGCAAGUGUGGGGCCUGUGGUGGAGCAAAAGGUGGGGUUGGCUGAAAUCUGAGGAGGUCUGGUGACUGGUAUGGCGAUGUCCCACAAGUCACCACGAGUUAGCGUGCGCCCUACUAGAGCAAAGAUGGCGGAUUCAAUGUCUCUGAGGAUGCCUCUAAAGUGUGGGACUUAAAGGAUCCAAGAAACACGUUGUGUGCUGUUACGGAACUCGUUAAAAAAGCCUUCAAGGCAGCAGCUACAGAAGCUUUACCCUCUAUAAGGUACCACCACACCAAGGCAGCAGCUACAGAAGCUUUACCCUCUAUAAGGUACCACCACACCAAGGCAGCAGCUUUAAUUUAUUUUUUCUAUUAAUUCAUUUGUUUGAAUAUUCAUUAUUAUUUAUUUAUUAUUUAUGUCAAUUUUAAUUUGUAAGGACCUUUCAGGAGGAUUAGUGCAAUCUAGUUGUUGAGGUGAAAGAAACUUAUAACGCCGAACUAAUAAACAUAUUUUCCCCUCAGAAAGAAUUUACAAAACAAACUUAAAUUGUUCUUACCAAACAAAAAUCAAAAGUUAAGUACUCAAUCAGAACAAUAGUCUACUAACUACGAUCAGAAGCGAUAAAAUUAUUUGAUAAGUUUACGAUUUAAAAACAUACCGUUUCAUUUGUUUCAAGUCUGCGAGAGACCAACAUUAAUAAUCAUACUUUUGCUGCUUUAUUGUCUUCGACUUCCUUCGUCUUUAGAACAUGGAUCCUUUCUUAUAUUUUAGGCUUUUUGUAAAGACUUUCUUUCUUAGACUUUCUUUCAUCUCUACUUUGUUGUUAAUCGGUAGUGUAAACGAUCUUCCCCCGUGUGAUAACCAGUUUGUUGGAAGCGAAAUUCGACAGCGGACUCAGAGAAAAUUGUAGAUUCAUUGAUUAAAGCGAUCCAUGACUGACAUCCUUAGAUGUUUGGAAGUUUGUGUUUUCUCAAGUGAAGGCAACCGUGUCAGCGAAGCGUGGUUACAUAGACAGGGCUUCUGGAAUUAUGCGGAAAAAAACUCAAAAUUACGCAGGGUUCUUGGCUAAAUUACGUGGAAAAUCAAUCAUAACGCGCUAAAUUACACGGGAUUUUGCAAUACAUUUUUCUUUAAAAAGAAGAUUUUGCGGGAUUCUUUACUGAAUUACGCGCUAAAUUAAACUGUUACGCCCAAACUACAUUUUGUACCGAAGGAAAGCACAAAAUUAACUUUAAAAAGGUAAUUUUUGUGCGCGAAAAUAUCUUAGGCGAGUUUUCAUCGGCUUCUAGCCACAAGCCAAUCAAAAAAGGUAAUUUAUUAUUAGUCUUAGGCCUUCACGGUUUAGCAAAGAACUCCUAGUCAUUUUAUUGGUUUUUGAAAUUCAGUUAGAAAUAUCGCACUCUUACAAAAAAUAUCUCUCUUUUUUACUAGAAAUAAGGGUAAGAACUCUAAAAUAACACAUCAGCUGUGCACUUAAAUGUUUUGUCUUUCAAAAUUUAGCCAAAUUACGCGGGUUUACGUGGAAAUUUGUGGAUUACAAGGAUUACGCGGACAAAGCCAAAUUACGCGCUUCCGCACAAGCGCGUAAUUCCAGAAGCUCUGCAUAGAUUGCGCGGGCAGGCAGGCGGCAGCGAGGAAGAACCACAGGGCUCCCGCGCGAUGACCAAAAAACUCACUCACAUAGUUAUCUGGUUAUAUACCAUUUUUCUAUACCUAUGGGGCUCCGCUAUAACACUGAUUGAAUAUAGGGAGUUUAAAUUUACGACAUUGAUUGAAUAUGUGGAGCUUAAAUCUACCUAAAUACUUAAAUAAAUACUCCCUAUACACAUGUAUAUAUAGCUUACGCUAGUAAUGGGAGGGUUGGUCAGCUUUAAAGCCGGCGUAGGUGCGAAGGCACCUUUAGCUGCCUGAUGGCCGGCAGAGCGGCUGUUUUAAAUGCCUCUAGGGUUACUUGAUUGACAACGUUACUUGGAAGUAAGUUCCAGAUUCUUAUAGCUCUUGGAAAAAAGGAAUAAUUAUAGGAUAGAAUAUUAGACUGUAGUUGCAAAAAACUAUGGUUAUGCCUCCUAGUGACUCUAUAUGACGGUUGAGAAACAGAAGUAGGGAGAGGGCAGGCCACAAGGUUGUUAUAGAAUUUAAACAUUAGAACUGACUGGUGGAAUAGUCUUCUAGUUUCAAGCGUAUCCCAUUUUAGUUGUUUCACAAGCUCUGUGGAGCUAGCUUGGAAACUAUAGUUGUUUGUUACAAAUCUGGCUGCGUUCUUUUGUACUUGUUCUAAUCUAUUUACGUCUGUGUCUGUAUAAGGGCUCCAUGCCGCUGAGGCAUAUUCCAGUGAUGGUCGUACGAGCGAUAAAUAAGCACGUUCUUUUACUGCAGGCUCGCAGGGUUUCAAAGUUCUUCUAAUCGCGCCGAGGGUUUUGUUAGCCUUCGUCGCUAUUUUGGAACAGUGGGGGCCCCAGCGUAGUUGUUUAUUGCAUCUUACUCCAAGAUAGUCUUGGUCUGCCACUUGAGUAAAGGGCUUCGCGUCUGCAGUAUACACGUAUGUUGAUGGUUUUCUCUUCUUCGUUACUGAUAGUAAGUAACAUUUUGUCACAUUAAAUUCCAUUUGCCAUACCGAUGACCAUUUAUAAACACCGUCCAGAUCUUCUUGGAGUGCUGUAUGGUCAUCCGUUGUAGAGAUUGGGCGAUAAAUGAUCGUAUCAUCUGCGAAGAGUCUGACCUGGGACUUCGAUGCUUCACAGAUGUCAUUUAUAUACAGUAGGAACAGAGUUGGUCCCAGAACGGAGCCCUGUGGAACGCCUGAUGUUACAUGCACUUUGCUAGAGUGGGAUCCAUUGACUACCACGUACUGGGACCUGUUUCUCAAAAAGCCAGAUACCCAUGCUAGUGUCUUCCCCUCGAUGCCAUAAUGAGAAAGCUUCUUGAGGAGCUUUGAGUGCGACACUUUAUCGAAGGCUUUACUGUAAUCUAAUAGUAAAGCAUCCACUUGGCCAUGAUGGUUUAAUGUAGUUGCCCAGUCGUGGAAUGUGAGGACUAGCUGAGUCUCACAAGAUAGUGCUUGCCGAAAACCAUGCUGGAAGAUAGACAGUAUGUUGUUGGCUGCUAGAUGCUUGUUCAGGUGGCUAAGAACAAUGUGCUCCAUAAUCUUACAGCAGAUGCAUGUAAGAGAAAUUGGGCGGUAAUUUUGUGGUUGGUCUUUGGCUGACUUCUUGUGCACCGGUACGACCAUUGCGUUUAGCCAGAUUUUUGGCAAAGUUCCCUCUUGAUAGCUUUGAUUAAAAAUGAAGCACAGUACACCAGAUAGUUCCUUUGCCAGAUCUCGUAACACGCGAGGCGAGAUGCCAUCAGGACCAUUACUUUUGUUUACAUUCAAACCAGCUAGCUGUUUAAAUACGCCAGCCUGAGUAAUGGUAAUAUCACUAAUUUUGGGACAUGUUGGAGGGUCAAGGUCGGGAACGACACCAUCGUCCAUAGUGAAAACACUCUCAAAAUACUUGUUCAAUGCCUCUGCCUUGUCCUUAUCUGAAAUAAACAUUGAGUUCCCUUGG